GGUAGUUGCCAUCAGUAUGAGCCACCGUGAUGAGAGUUUUGAUGGUGUCGAUGUUCUUUGCCUUCAUCUCGGUAAUAGGAGAAUUGGCCGUCAACAAAGUGAAUCUCGCCAGAGCUUGCACAGCUUUUCAAAUUCAUUUUUCUUAAAAAGCUGUGAUGUGAUUUCUACUUAUGAAUUUGGAAUUAGUGCCGUGUCGGAAUCAAGGACCGUGGAAAAUUGUUUUUCUUCAAACAAAAAAAAAAUUACGGAUUUGUCUAAUCUAAAAUGGCCGUUAACAUAAAACACACGUGCAGCACGCACGCACAUCUCUCACCUGAUACCAUCUAAGCAGAGCGACGCGAUCUCCGGGUCGUCGCAAUCUUGAAGUCCGACGCUGAAGGCCGCGAGAAACGGUGUCCAAGCCAUCUUGAACAUCGGCCUCACAUGUUCCAGAUGCUU